rnacentral:rRNA from 1 species
AUUGAACGCUGGCGGCAGGCUUAACACAUGCAAGUCGAGCGGGGUGAUGGUGCUUGCACUAUCACUUAGCGGCGGACGGGUGAGUAAUGCUUAGGAAUCUGCCUAUUAGUGGGGGACAACAUCUCGAAAGGGAUGCUAAUACCGCAUACGUCCUACGGGAGAAAGCAGGGGAUCACUUGUGACCUUGCGCUAAUAGAUGAGCCUAAGUCGGAUUAGCUAGUUGGUGGGGUAAAGGCCUACCAAGGCGACAAUCUGUAGCGGGUCUGAGAGGAUGAACCGCCACACUGGGACUGGGACACGGCCCAGACUCCUACGGGAGGCAGCAGUGGGGAAUAUUGGACAAUGGGGGGAACCCUGAUCCAGCCAUGCCGCGUGUGUGAAGAAGGCCUUAUGGUUGUAAAGCACUUUAAGCGAGGAGGAGGCUCUUUUGGUUAAUACCCAAGAUGAGUGGACGUUACUCGCAGAAUAAGCACCGGCUAACUCUGUGCCAGCCGCCGCCGUAA